rnacentral:rRNA from 1 species
AGUGUACGCUGGCGGUAGGCCUAACACAUGCCAGUCGAACGGCAGCACAGUAAGAGCUUGCUCUUACGGGUGGCGAGUGGCGGACGGGUGAGGAAUACAUCGGAAUCUACUUUUUCGUGGGGGAUAACGUAGGGAAACUUACGCUAAUACCGCAUACGACCUACGGGUGAAAGCAGGGGAUCUUCGGACCUUGCGCGAUUGAAUGAGCCGAUGUCGGAUUAGCUAGUUGGCGGGGUAAAGGCCCACCAAGGCGACGAUCCGUAGCUGGUCUGAGAGGAUGAUCAGCCACACUGGAACUGAGACACGGUCCAGACUCCUACGGGAGGCAGCAGUGGGGAAUAUUGGACAAUGGGCGCAAGCCUGAUCCAGCCAUACCGCGUGGGUGAAGAAGGCCUUCGGGUUGUAAAGCCCUUUUGUUGGGAAAGAAAAGCAGCAGGUUAAUACCCCGCUGUUCUGACGGUACCCAAAGAAUAAGCACCGGCUAACUUCGUG